rnacentral:lncRNA from 1 species
CAUGACAAUUAUGUUAUGAAAAAUGCUAUAUGUCCCGAAAAUUUCAUUCCCGAAAAUUCACCGAAUGAUGUGUUGCAACAAUUUCGGUCAUUACGUCAGCAACUUUCAACCCCUUUUUGUGCCUUCUCUCUUGGUAGAAAAUUAAAUAUGAUGAACCUUCUAUGUCAGAGUGAAUACUAAAUAUCCAAUUUGGACAUAAAAUUGUAGGACAGUAUUAACAAUUAAUCUCUUGUAUUACCAUUAUAUAGAAAUUAAACUCAUAUAUACAAAUAUCAAAAGGGAGUAGUCAAAUGAAUAUGAUGCAAUUUUAAAGAUGAUUUUAAAAUACUAUCAAUAGAAGUUUUGGUCCAUGUAUUCAGCUCAAUUGGUAUGAACAUCACAUUAUAUAUAUAGAGAUUGUGAUUUGAAUCCCGGACACCUUAUUUAUUCAUCUUUAAUGGUGAAAUUUCUAACCACUAGAUUACUUGACAAAUUUAUUUUUUUAACAUUUUGUCUUCAUAAGUAUAACUCAAUUGGUAUAAACAUUGCUUAUUCUAUGCAGGGAAUUCAAACUCUGAUACUUCCACUUAUUAGAGUCAUUAAAUCUAUAAUAUCAAAAUUAAAUCGUAGUUUAUAUGGUUAGAGGAAUAGCUAAAUUAAUAC